CUGAGUACUACACUCUCUACCCUUUGUGAACUAUUAUACCUGUUGCUUCGGCGGCGCCCGCAAGGGUGCCCGCCGGUCUCAUCAGAAUCUCCGUUUUCGAACCCGACGAUACUUCUGAGUGUUCUUAGCGAACUGUCA
rnacentral:misc_RNA from 1 species